rnacentral:rRNA from 1 species
CCCGGCGGACGGCUCAGUAACACGUGGAUAACUUGCCCUUGGGUCUGGGAUAACCCCUGAGAAAUUGGGGACAAUACCGGAUAGGGCAUCGAUAGCUGGAAUGCGCGAUGUCCAAAAGCUGAGGCGCCCAAGGAUAGGUCUGCGGCCGAUUAGGUUGUUGUUGAUGUAAUGGAUCAACAAGCCUGCAAUCGGUACGGGUUGUGAGAGCAAGAGCCCGGAGAUGGGUUCUGAGAAAAGAACCCAGGUCCUACGGGACGCAUCNUGUGCGAAAACUUUACAAUGUGCGAAAGCACGAUAAGGGAACUCUGAGUGCCUCCUAUGGAGGCUGUUCAGGUGUCUAAAAAGCACUUGAAGUAAGGGCUGGGUAAGACCGGUGCCAGCCGCCGCGGUAACACCGGCAGCCCAAGUGGUAGCCACGAUUAUUGGGUCUAAAGCGUCCGUAGCCGGCCAGGUAAGUUCUUUGGGNAAAUUUAACCGCUCAACGGUUAAGCUUUCAGGGAAUACUGCNUGGGCUUGGGACCGGGGAGAGGUCAGAAGGUACUUCAAGGGUAGGGGUGAAAU